rnacentral:rRNA from 1 species
AUUGAACGCUGGCGGCAGGCCUAACACAUGCAAGUCGAACGCGUGGCGGACGUGUGAGUAAUAUCUGGAAAACUGCCUGAUGGAGGGGGAUAACUACUGAAAACGGUAGCUAAUACCGCAUACCAUCGGAUGUGCCCAUAUGGGAUUAGCUAGUAGGUGGGGUAACGGCUCACCGAGGCGACGCUCCCUAGCUGGUCUGAGAGGAUGACCAGCCACACUGGAACUGAGACACGGUCCAGAGUCCUACGGGAGGCAGCAGUGGGGAAUAUUGCACAAUGGGCGCAAGCCUGAUGCAGCCAUGCCGCGUGUAUGAAGAAGGCCUUCGGGUUGUAAAGUACUUUCAGCGGGGAGGCGUUACACGCAGAAGAAGCACCGGCUAACUCCGUGCCAGCAGCCGCGGUAAUAC